CUUGAUGUGGUCUUCGAUGUUGCUGGAGAGGGGCUUCAACUGCUCCUGGAGCUUCUCAACCAUGGGCUGGAACUGGGCUCUGCUCUGCUCGAGUUGAGAUUACGAUGAUGAACUUACUUGGCCUUGUUGGCCAGCUCAGGGCCCUCAACGUUCUUCAGAUUGUCCACGAGGUCCUGGAAAUACUUGGCGAUCUUGUCCAGCUCAGCAGGAGCGUCUCUCUUGACCAGAGAUACUGACUCAGAGCCUGGAACAUCAACAGAAAUGGUUGAUCAAUACACUCUUACAUCUUGAAUGGCAUUACUCUCAAGUGCUCAAGCUAAAUCAGGUGAAAGACACUAUGGCUUUUACUGUAUGUUUCAACAGGACACUUUAAGUACUUAACAGAGUAAAGAUAAAAUCAACCACACACAUUGUUAAUUUAACUUAAGGACCAUUUUGGGUUCCUCAAAGAACCUUUCUGUGAAUAGUUCUCAAAAUAACCAUUUUCUCUUAUUGUAAGGAACGUUUUAAUAAUCUAAAGCCUUUUCCACUAUUUGGAACCUUUUGUGCAACGGAAAGGUUCCGUGGAAUUUAAAUGUUCUUUAUGGAACCAUGAAGAUCCUUAAUUUUUAAGAGUGUAGAUUAACUGAGUUGCAACAUUGCAUACACAAAACACAACAUAUCUUGAGAGCAUCACAAGUUAAAGUCUCACCAAUGGCCAGAGCAACAACAAGGACGGCGAUGAGGGAGAACUUCAUGGUUGCACGUUGGGUGAGAGUUGCCUGAACAGACAGAGAUAAUGAUUCAUAUCAGUUUCUAGUCAGACUUCUCCUCUUAAAUUUCACCAGAAAUUAAGAAUCAACAGCAGAGCUCGAUAAUGUAGAUGUCGUCUUACCUUACGUCCAGGGGUUCUUAGACCUGAUGGUGUGUUCUCCAAUGAGCCGUGGGUUUUUAUAGUCCCAGGACAAGUUCAAAGGGUGACCAGUGCUGAUGAAAUCAUCCACAUACACUGAACCUUUAGGCUUUACCUGACACUGAAGUGAUCAAAUCAAAGUUCAACAGUAAUCUGUGUUUGUGCUUAAUUAGUGCAUUUCUGUGGAGUUUCGGUCAUCUGAUAACGUGAUCAGUGCAGCGCUUUAGUACGUGCAGAAAUAUUUCAGGGCUUAUUUAUAGACUGAAAUAAAAUAAUCAAUGUUUUUGUCUGUGCAAGGUCAGAAAAUACUGCUUUGGAAUUUGAUUUAAAUAAAUUGGUACCCCAACUUGCUUGAGUGGUGGUAUCAGUGACGGUG